ensembl:snoRNA
AAGUGAAAUGAUGGCACAUCAUCUUUCGGGACUGACCUGAAAUGAAGAGAAUACUCUCGCUGAUCACUU